GGUAAGAUCCCUUGCAGACUACAAGGUAGAUAGGCACGAUGUGUAAGUGGAGCGAUCCAUUCAGCAGGCGUGUACUAAUCGAUCGAGGGCUUGACCAG
rnacentral:rRNA from 1 species